AGGUACUUAAAUAAAUCAAAAAGGAAAUUAUCUUUGUGUUAAUGAUUUUUCUUUUCAUAUUAAUAGUGCUUAACUAACAUUUCCCUCUGGAUGUCCGGUCAGACUGGAUAAAGGAGCAUCCUACCCUUCCCAGGACAGACUAGUCAGCCUCUUCAGUCCAACUAAAAACCAAGGAGGCCAAAUGUGAAGUCAGCGUGGGACAAAAGAGAUUCAAGCAGGAGUCAUGAAAGCAUGGAGAGCUGUGUCUCAGGAAAGGCAACGCUAAUGGAGGUGGGUCAGAUGGGAACUGCAAGCAAACAGGGAGGCAUGGAGGCUCCUGCCACAGCCUGUGAAACAGUGAAUGAAAUGCAGCCUCAAUGAAGGCAAUGGUGCUGUGGUGAAGAGGAGGAGGCAGAUUCUCAUGCUGUUGGACAGGAUACGUGUCCAGGGGGAAGUGGACAGUGAAAGAGAGCGGUCAGAAUGUGGGUUUCUGUUUUUCUUGUUCUCCAACACAAACUGCCAGCCACGGCCUACCAGGAUCUUUUCCCAAACACUGCAUGUAACUGAAGAUACCAUGUCUGUUUUCCUCAGUACCCCAGACUGACAUUUCAACAAGUACUUCUCAUCAUGGCUUUUGCAGAAGCUCUGAAAAAGCAUCUGGGGGCAUAACGACAUUAUCAGAUUUUUAGGGUGGAUGAUGGAAAUAGGACAUUUGCUUUAACCCUUCCCAACAACAAAGCAAGAAACCAACGAACUGUCUUCCUACAUCAAUCACGCUGAAUUGAUUCUGAAAUUUAUCUCUUCACAGUGUAUGAGGGGUGAGUGUGGUAAUUCACAAUCACAAAUGCUGCUGGAAUUCAUUGCAAACCUCAACGGCUUGUGCAAUCUAGGCCUAAUCUGGUGGUCCAAUGCCGCUGGUCUUCAUGUUCCAAUGGGGGAUUGGCAGAUCAUAUGGGGUUUUCAGGGCACUGGACAGCCCUGUUUCACAGAAGAGACCUUUCUGUCUGGGAUCCAUGCAUUCCCACAAUUGUUAUGAUCGCUUCAUAGUUCGUAUUCAGAGCCUUCUCGUCUAUUUCCUACUCACUGCACAUGAGUUUAUUAGGCCUUUUCCUGAGGAUAGGAGGAAGCAGAGAACAUUGGGCAGGAAGGAUGGAGAGCAGAGUCUUUAGGCACAGGGUCCUGGAGAUUAGGGACAAACUUUGGCCCCUGACAAUUUUGCAUAAGAUCAGCACUGGCACAAGUCUACCAUGUUGAGGUUAGCCAAUCUGAGUUAACCGAGAACACACAGGGCGAGAAUUACUCGCCUUUUGUUAUUUCUGAAACCUGAACUGCUUUUAGAAAUAAAGGCUGGAAUGUUCCAUAGGAA